GUGUUGAAGAGUCUCUGUCGAGCUCACUGAGGGACUUGAAGAGUUCAGUUUCAGAUCUCACUUCUUCUGUUGCAUCUAUUUCUUCUCGACUAUCCGUCAACAUGCAGGAUGUGUCGCAAAGUGACAUAAAGAGUUUGAUGAACAGCUUGAGUUCUGCAGUGUCAGCGCUGACGGCGCAGCUGAAUGAUGCAGUUAACAAGCAGGACCAGAAACAGAGUGAAACAGAAAGAUCACUGGACAGUUUGAAG
rnacentral:lncRNA from 1 species